UCCAUGUUGUUGUGUUUUGUGGCUACGUUUUCCACAAUAUUUUGUAGUCGGCAGCUUGCAGCCACUGUGCGAGUUUUCGUUGGUUUUCUGUGUGCUUUUUGCGGAAUUGGAAAUUCGUGUUGGUCUUGGGGAGUGGCUAAACGCCCAAAAAACUGCCCCAACUAGUCAGCGUCAGAGGGAACCUGAACUAGGGAUGCAAAAUUAAUUGCUUCGCUUUCCCGUAUAGAGCACAUCACGAUAUUGCACUAUGUUCCACUGUUCCGUUCCUCGCUUUCCCACUGAUAAUUUCUGCUCAUAUUUCCAGAAAGCCUCUCUGUCUGUCCGUCUCUUUCUAGCUACAUUACAUACAUAGCUUCGCUGCUGCCAGCCGGAGGAGCAUCGGUAGCUGGCAACAUUGUUGUUGUUGCUCUCUUGAGUGGGGCGGUCUCAAGUGUGGUUGUUGUUUUUGCUGUUGUCAAUUUUGUUCAGAUAAUAAAAACUAACAAGUUGUGUUUAUUAGUUAACAAAAGCAAACGGCAAAGUUUCAACAGGUUCGUUGACCAGCAGCAGCCAUCGCAUCGACACAUUGAACGUCAUGAACGGUGAGACGGAGAGCCAGAGAGCCGGAGGAGGAGAUCAUUACGCAAAAAUAAAAGUAAAACCGAAUGCAUUGCUGCCUGCUGGCGUGUGUGUGCGAUAAUAAAAAUAGUAGAAAUUAAAAACAUCCCAUGCCUCUCAUCCCGUGUGCUUCUCAUUGUCUUUGCUCUGGUGUGGUGCUGCCUCUUCUUCGCAGUGCUCGGUAUCAAGGUCAGAUCGUUGGUAUUUUAGUGAGUGCAAUUUCGAGCCAAAUAAAUUCGCAUAGAGUCGCUCUGCCCGGCACUAAUGAGAGUCGCUGGCAGAGGCAGUGACAACAGCGACAGCGACAGGGACAGCGACGUGGCCAGAGGCGGCUGGCUGGGCAGCGACGCGGGCAGAGAGCUGUGACAGAUGCACUAACGUGGAUUAAAAAUGUGCAAAAGGCAAACACAAAAGAUUGCGGGACUUAAACAAAAGCAACCACAGCAGGAGAGUGGGGGGAGAGAGAGAGAAACACAGGGCAGCGCAGCACCAGCAGCAGCAAAAACAACAGAAGUACAAGAACAACAAACAAUGGCAAAGUUAAACGGCUCUCUCUCUCUCGCUCUCUUUCUUGGCUGCCUAAUCUCCCCAAAGUGUGUGUUAAGUAGGGUGAAUCAUUACCAAAGCCCGCUCGCAAGAUAUUGACCAUAGACAGCGAGAGAGCAGCAAUGGCUCACCCUGUUUUAAUAUGCCUGCUCUCGCUAUGCAAAUGAAAGGAAAUGGAACAGCGGUGGAUUUCGAGUGAGUUUCGUGGAGCAAGCAGAAAAAUAACAUUAAAGCGAAAUUAAGCAGAUAAAUUAUUCAGAAAUACGUACACACAUUCAUAUGUUCAUGUAUUUGUAUUUGUGUGCUGAACAUAUUGAUUGCUUGUUAAAAAUGUUAAUUAAUUUGUCUAUGAGCUGGCAACGGUAAUUAAAUCAAGCGUUAGGCAAACACAACAACAGAAAAGCGUAUGCCCUCCCACACAUACAUACAUAUGUACAUAUAUAACUACAAAAUCUGUAUAUCUGUGCAUUGCAAUACAGUGACACUUGUCCAAAAAACACACACCCAUUCAAUGGUCAGCAUUUAAAAUAUAAAAACAAAUCAUAAA